UCUCAGAAAAACCCUAACACACUCAGAAACAGAGAAACUUCCUCUCGACUCUCACACUCUCAUGGCCGCCACCGUCUCCUGCUCCAGUGUCGCCACCGUCUCCUGCUCCAGUGUCACCACCGUUGUCCUUGUCGGCGCUCCUACUGCACCGUUCGCGUGAAGCGGAGAAGCGGAGCCAGAGGCGGAGUGGCCGAACCCAGGCGGUGGCUGAACCAUAGGAAGUGGAGCCGGCUCCAGAGUCGAUCAUGACGUCGCUCACAUGCCAUCUUCACAAUUACAUUAGAACAGAUGCACAAAUUCCAUCCAGCAGUGAUACUUCGGAUGAGGAUAUGGGUUAAGAAUACCUUUCAGCAAAGUUCCAUUUGGUAGAUCUAGCUGGAUCAGAGAGAGCUAAAAGAACUGGUUCCGAUGGUCUUCGUUUCAAAGGUGUACACAUCAAUAAAGGCCUUCUUGCACUAGGUUCAUGUAUCAGCUAUCCUAUGAGUGGGAAUGCAAUCCAAGUAGUUUCCUGGGCUUAAAUCAUAACUGGAAGCAUUGAUCCUUUUCUGCAGAUUUCUAGAAGCUAAUUUUCAACCUGUUUUUCCUCAUCAAGAUUAUGAUUGGCUUGGCAUCAAACUACUGUUUUCAGGGAGGGCCACUUCUAUAUGCUUUGCUGAAUUAUGACAAGUCCAGCGUGAUUCCUAGCUGGACAUUGUAGCUUUAUACCUUUCUAAUGGACCUUUCAGAAGGAUAAUACAAAUGUCAUAGUUUCUUAGAACACUGAAGUGUCAAGUUUACCCUGCUGCAGCCAUCUUAUUAAGAUGUCGUGCGCCAAAGUGCUUUGGGUUGGAACUUGCGGUUUCAUCUCCUCUAUAAGCCUCGACAUCUCUGGAUAGAGGGAACAAUCUGCUUUGUGUUUUCCUUCUGUGGAUGUGAAGCUUCUUGAAUCAAGAGGAAUAGUUUGUCGGUUGCAAAGGAGAAAAACAUCCAGUAUGUUGCAUUCCCUGUGGUGUCUAUUGUCUAUUUGACAAAUUAAAAGCUAUCUCACAGACAAGGUACUGAAGAAUUUCUUUGAACAUCCAGUAUGUUUAAUUUGUCAAAAUCUGUCAUAUGCAUAUCAUUAAACCUCUCUUCUCAUUUAGCCAUCUGUUAUUGGUAUAUACCACUUUGUUCAUAAUCUUUUUUAUUCAAAUGGAAAAAUUUCCCAAUCCAUGAUGACAUGUCUCGAAAAUGGUAUUUGUUGCAAUCUCAUGGUCUGAAGAAUUUCUUGUAGUUGAGGGGUGAUUUUGUGUUCUAGUCAUGAGCUUAGUUUUGGGAUUUAGCGAGGGAAUUAGCAAGGGAAUGGAAAUAAAAAUGUUAGGCAGUUAGCGACGGACUGUCUGUUCCGUCUGAAAUAGCGACGGAAACAUCCGUCGCAAAUAGCUACGGAUUAUCAUUCUCCCUCGCUAAUAGCGACGGACUGUUCCGUCGCAAAUAGCGACGGAAAGAGGCCUAAUACGGCAAACAAGUUAGCGACGGAAAUAUAUAAACCAGCGACGAAAAUAUUCCGUCGCCGAUAGCGACGGAUUUAAGAAUCCGUCAUUAAAUAUUGGCUUAAAUAAGUUUUUGGUCC